rnacentral:tRNA from 13 species
GAUUCGGUGGUCUAGGGGUAUGAUUCUCGCUUUGGGUGCGAGAGUUCCCGGAUUCAAAUCCCGGCCGAACG